GAGUGUCUUGGAAAUGUUCUUUUAUGUCCUCUCCAACAAAAUUUGAACAGAGACAUUUAUCACUUUCAUUCUUCUUUCAUCGGUUCUUCUCCCUUACCCGUGAAGAAGCACCAAAUCUCCUUCUUUUACUCAAUGUAGAUUUUCUUCCAUACUUUCACUGAAAAAGAAAGCUAAAGCAUGAGUUGGAGGUAUCAUUGCUUAGGUAGGAUUAUGGGAUGAGAAAAUCAUUAAUUUCUUUCUUCAAAGACGGACUUUUUCUUUGAUGUGUGUUAGGAGUAUUUCAUGGAGCAGUUGAUGUGUGUUAGGAGUAUUUCAUGGAGCAGAAUAGCUGGCUUUGUACAUAUUGGAUUCUUCAGAAACUUGCCCCUGGAUUCAAGUUAACCUUGUUCUAUGUACUAAAGUGAUGAUGGAAUGUAUACAUGGUGUGUGUUAAUCUGCGUAUAGAAUCUGUCAAUUAUGGCAACUUCAUGCAUGGGCUGAUGCAGAAGAAUAUCCAACUUAACAGAAAGGUUCUGUCAGAGUUAUCUGUGCACGAACCCUGUAGCUUCAAAACUUUGGUAGAUCUAGCACAUUUCCAGGAAACAAGAAUGUAGUGAUUCCUCCAAGAAAGGUUGCCUUCUAGGGACGUGGCACUUUAGCAAACAUUUAGUGGUAGUUUAUGUUAGAACCCUUAGCAAAUUUUAGCAAACAGUAAAUUUAUUUUAAAAGACAUGCUUCUUUUGUAGUGCUAAGUUUCUACGGUUUUCAUUACAAACAUACACGUGUGAUCAUUCACUGCCCAAGACUAUUACGAAUCUCCUUGCUGAAAA